CUGCAGCCCUCUCUGCAUCACUUAUUAUGAAUAAAAUAUGAUGUGCGGUGUUAAUAAGCCAAGUAUUAGGACACUUCGUCAGUGUGCCAGUGACAGAUGAUCUGACUGCACCAGGAUGGAAACUGAUGAGCAACAUAAGAGGACAGAACUUAGAAGUAUGUUUCCCCAAAAAGCCCCCUGAAGAGAACAGACAGGCCUGCUCCACUUCUCCCCUGACUGACAGCACACUCCAGAGGAGCCACGCUGCAGGACACGC